GCCCUGAGGGAUAGUUCAGUCAGCAGAGCAUGAGACUCCUAAUCUAAGAGUUGUGGGUUCAAGCCCCACAUUGGGUG